AGAGUUUGCUCCUGGCUCAGAGCGAACGUUGGUGGGAUGUUUUAAGCAUGCAAGUCGAGCGGCAGCAUGGGAGCUUGCUCCUGAUGGCGAGCGGCGGACUGGUGAGUAACGCGUAGGUUAUCUACCUAGUAGACUGGGAUAGCCACUGGAAACAGUGAUUAAUACCGGAUAUUGUCAUUCGUGAUGAAAGGUGCGUUUGCACCACUACUAGAUGAGCCUGCGUCCUAUUAGCUUGUUGGUGAGGUAAUGGCUUACCAAGGCAUCGAUAGGUAGCCGGCCUGAGAGGGUGAUCGGCCACAUUGGGACUGAGAUACGGCCCAGACUCCUACGGGAGGCAGCAGCUAAGAAUAUUCCGCAAUGGACGAAAGUCUGACGGAGCAAUCCCGCGUGAGUGAUGAAGGCCUUCGGGUUGUAAAGCUCUUUCGGCAGGGAAGAAUAAGGCAUACAGGAAAUGGUGUGCUGAUGACGGUACCUGCAGAAGAAGCACCGACUAAUUACGUGCCAUCAGUCGCGGUAAUACGUAAGGUGCAAGCGUUGCUCGGAAUCACUGGGCGUAAAGGGUACGCAGGCGGCUAAAUAAGUUAGUGGUGAAAUCUUGAGGCUCAACCUCAAGCCUGCCAUUAAAACUGUUUGGCUAGAGUUGUAAUAGAGGUAGCAGGAAUUCCUAGUGUAGGAGUGAAAUCUGUAGAUAUUAGGAGGAACACCAAUGGCGUAGGCAAGCUACUGGGUAACGACUGACGCUAAUGUACGAAAGCCAGGGGAGCGAAUGGGAUUAGAGACCCCAGUAGUCCUGGCCGUAAACGAUGUAUACUAGUUUUAUGGUCUUUUAUUAGACUAUAUAACAAAGCAAACGCGUUAAGUAUACCGCCUGGGGAGUAUGCACGCAAGUGUGAAACUCAAAGGAAUUGACGGGGGCUCGCACAAGCGGUGGAGCAUGUGGUUCAAUUCGAUGAUAAGCGAAAAACCUUACCUGGGCUUGAACGUGUAAUGAAAGCUGAUGAAAGUCAGUCUCCCUUCGGGGCGUUAUGCGAGGUGCUGCAUGGCUGUCGUCAGCUCGUGUUGUGAAAUGUUGGGUUUAGUCCCGCAACGAGCGCAACCCUUAUCCUAUGUUGCUAAGUACCCCUUGUGGGUGCAGGACUCUUAGGAGACUGCCGAGGUUAACUCGGAGGAAGGCGGGGAUGACGUCAAGUCCUCAUGGCCCUUAUGUCCAGGGCUACACACGUGCUACAAUGGGUCGUACAAAGGGAUGCAAGAUCGCGAGGUUAAGCAAAUCCCAAAAAACGGCUCUCAGUUCGGAUCGCAGUCUGCAACUCGACUGCGUGAAGUUGGAAUCGCUAGUAAUCACAGAUCAGCAUGCUGUGGUGAAUACGUUCUCGAGCCUUGUACACACCGCCCGUCACACCACCCGAGUUGAAUUUACCUGAAGUCGUUGUACUAACCGCAAGGAAGAAGACGCCGAGGGUGAGUUUAGUAAGGAGGGUGAAGUCGUAACAAGGCG
rnacentral:rRNA from 1 species